CUACGGGAGGCAGCAGUGGGGAAUAUUGCACAAUGGGCGAAAGCCUGAUGCAGCAACGCCGCGUGAGUGAUGAAGGUCUUCGGAUUGUAAAGCUCUGUCUUUGGGGACGAUAAUGACGGUACCCAAGGAGGAAGCCACGGCUAACUACGUGCCAGCAGCCGCGGUAAUACGUAGGUGGCGAGCGUUGUCCGGAUUUACUGGGCGUAAAGGAUGCGUAGGCGGAUGUUUAAGUCAGAUGUGAAAAUCCCGAGCUUAACUUGGGAACUGCAUUUGAAACUGGAUAUCUAGAGUGCGGGAGAGGAGAAUGGAAUUCCUAGUGUAGCGGUGAAAUGCGUAGAGAUUAGGAAGAACACCAGUGGCGAAGGCGAUUCUCUGGACCGUAACUGACGCUGAGGCAUGAAAGCGUGGGUAGCAAACAGGAUUAGAUACCCCGGUAGC
rnacentral:rRNA from 1 species